rnacentral:sRNA from 1 species
GCUGGAGCCGAGUAGCGUACAGAGCGGCGUGUGACGCGGGGACGCCGCGCGCUCCCAACGUCGCCCCGGUUUGACGCACACGGCACCAAACUGUUUGAUUUAAUUUUGGAUGAGAUCGUUCUUGCAGCAAGAUGUUAAUAAGACAAAAUCUAGACUAAAUGUGUUAAAUGGGCUUGCCAACAAUAUGGAUGAUUUGAAGAUAAACACCGAUAUUACUGGUGCUAAAGAAGAACUCCUAGAUGACAACAAUUUUAUCUCAGACAAAGAGAGCGGAGUUCAUAAGCCAAAAGAUUGUCAAACAUCAUUUCAGAAAAAUAAUACAUUGACUCUGCCUGAAGAACUGUCAAAGGACAAAUCUGAAAACGCCUUAAGUGGAGGCCAGUCUAGUCUAUUUAUACAUGCUGGUGCUCCUACUGUUUCUAGUGAAAACUUUAUCUUGCCUAAAGGAGCUGCUGUUAAUGGACCAGUUUCACACUCCUCCUUAACUAAGACUUCCAAUAUGAAUAAAGGCAGU